rnacentral:rRNA from 1 species
UGGCCUACGGGAGGCAGCAGUGAGGAAUAUUGGUCAAUGGGCGGGAGCCUGAACCAGCCAAGUCGCGUGAAGGAAGAAGGUACUUAGUAUUGUAAACUUCUUUUGUCGGGGAACAAAGGCGGAGACGCGUCUCCGGAUGAGUGUACCCGAAGAAAAAGCAUCGGCUAACUCCGUGCCAGCAGCCGCGGUAAUACGGAGGAUGCGAGCGUUAUCCGGAUUUAUUGGGUUUAAAGGGUGCGCAGGCGGAGGUGCAAGUCAGCGGUCAAAUUGCGGGGCUCAACCCCGUACUGCCGUUGAAACUGCAU